rnacentral:rRNA from 1 species
CCUACGGGCGGCAGCAGUGAGGAAUAUUGGUCAAUGGGCGGAAGCCUGAACCAGCCAAGUAGCGUGCAGGAUGACGGCCCUACGGGUUGUACACUGCUUUUAUACGGGAAUAACGUGCCUUACGUGUAGGGUUUUGCAUGUACCGUAUGAAUAAGGACCGGCUAAUUCCGUGCCAGCAGCCGCGGUAAUACGGAGGGUCCGGGCGUUAUCCGGAUUUAUUGGGUUUAAAGGGAGCGUAGGCGGCAUGUCAAGCGUGCUGUGAAAUGUCCGGGCUCAACCCGGGCCUUGCAACGCGAACUGGCGUGCUUGAGUCCGCGGAAGGCAGGCGGAAUUCGUCGUGUAGCGGUGAAAUGCUUAGAUAUGACGAAGAACCCCGAUUGCGAAGGCAGCUUGCUGCAGCGGAACUGACGCUGAUGCUCGAAAGCGCGGGUAUCGAACAGGAUUAGAUACCCGGGUAGUC